UCUCCCACCAGGUAUCUUAAGUGUUUUCUCCAUGUGGAAAUGCUUUUCAGUAAAAUGAAAAUGACUGAACUUUUUAUAAAGUGAAGUUCAGAGUAUCCCUUCUGGGACUCUAUUUUUUCCCUUGAAAUUCUAGAUCAAAAUUUCAAAAAGGCCAGAGUGGGGUCCAUAGAAGAGCAGAAGCAAUGAAUUGGAAGGACUUCUGUGCACCUCUAUUAGUCCCACUACAUGGAAUCCUUAGGGUUUUUUUCUCAUCCAAGAAUCUAAGGAGAGUCCAUAAAGAAGGCUGACAACAAAUGAAUGGAGAAAACACAAGCCCCAAAGCCUGCAGCACAGCCAGGGACCCUCUGUGAGCUGAGUCUGUGAGUUAGGGACCAGCUGUCUUCUCCAUGAAGCCUGCCCUGAUUCUCCCCAGGGGAAGGCUGGCCCCCUUUUCCAAACUCCCACUACAUUUUGUCCAAACGGUGUUGGAAGCCACUGGGACUCCCCAAGAACAAUAUCCAAGUUGAAGGCACCUUUGCCACCCCCCGCCAGUGGACAUGGAAGGAGUGCUGCACA